UACUUUUACUGCAGGUAAGGAUCUGAAUACUUCUUCCAGCGCUACAGCUAUUUCACUGCAAACUUUAAUAACACCACCUGCUGUGUGCUGAGCUGUACAACUGCUGCGCAAGACGCCCAGGCACCAAUUUGUCUGUCUGCCGUUGAUGGUGGUGAUGUCGGGCACAGUGUCUUUGCCGAUUAGUGUGACGUUCCUGGGUUUCUCUCGCUCUACACAGCUCUCCCUACGAGUGGUGCCCCAACUCAAGGUGACUGAGAGUAAAUCAUCCGAGAGUGGGAGAGGGAGAGGAGAGUGUGUCCCAGGAGAGAGGCUGAAGGAAAGAGAGAAAGAACAGUGGGAGUGUCGUAUUAUAACCUCUAGACCCCCUGUUGUGACAGAUUUAGACCAAUGAUCACACAUAGGUGCAGUAAAUGUAAGUGGCAAGA